rnacentral:rRNA from 1 species
UACGAAGGGGGCUAGCGUUGCGCGGAAUUACUGGGGGUAAAGGGCGCGUAGGUGGCUCUGUUAGUCAGGCGUGAAAGUCCUGGGCUCAACCUGGGAACUGCGCUUGAUACGGCAGAGCUAGAGGAUGGAAGAGGGUCGCGGAAUUCCCAGUGUAGAGGUGAAAUUCGUAGAUAUUGGGAAGAACACCGGUGGCGAAGGCGGCGACCUGGUCCAUUACUGACGCUGAGGCGCGACAGCGUGGGGAGCAAACAGG